UCCUCAUCAUCCACAACAAUGGCGUUCAUCACCCUCUUCAUCUACUCUCUGCUCCUCUACAUCCAAGACUCCAGGGCACAGGUGACCGUUACUCAAACUCCAGCCAUAUCGACCAGUCCAGGGGGCACAGUCACAAUCAGCUGUAAACGCAGUGGAAGCAUUUCCUCUGACUGUGGCACACCAUGCAUCUCCUGGUACCAACAGCAGUCUGGAGAGAAACCCAAACUCCUCAUCUACUACGUGAGAAGCCUCCAGUCUGGUAUUCCAUCUCGGUUUAGUGGCAGUGGAUCUGGGAAUGACUACAGUCUGACCAUCAGUGGAGUCCAGAGUGAAGAUGCAGGACAUUAUUACUGCAUGAGUCACCAUCAAUCUACUGGAAGCAGUACGUGGGUGUUCACACAGUGAUACAGACUCGUACAAAAACCUCAACCUCUCUCAGUCAGUCAGGUGGCACAGUGAGUGUGGUCUACUGCUGCAGGUGGAGCCCCCUGCAGGUGGCACAGUGAGUGUGAUCUACUGCUGCAGGUGGAGCCCCCUGCAGGUGGCACAGUGAGUGUGAUAAUCUACUGUUGCAGGUGGA